rnacentral:tRNA from 1 species
GGGCGGUUAACUCAGUUGGUAGAGUUCCUGCUUUACACGCAGGCUGUCGGCGGUUCGAGCCCGUCACCGCCCACCA